rnacentral:lncRNA from 1 species
GCCCUCUAGUACCAUCCUUAGAAGCACCACCUACCCUAAAGCUAAAGCCUCUUUCCAACACACUGAAAUAUUCAUUCCUCAAUGAUACCCUCUCGAUAAUCAUUACAUCAAAUUUGACUUUUGAUCAAGAAGCGAAACUUGUAGGUGCUCUGAAAAAACAAAAAGAAGCUAUUAGAUGGAUCACUGAAUUAAAAGGCCUCGAUCCAUCCAUAUGUAUGUAUUGUA